UGUGACGUUACCAAACUGUUGCCUCGGCGGGAUCUCUGCCCCGGGUGCGUCGCAGCCCCGGACCAAGGCGCCCGCCGGAGGACCAACCAAAACUCUUUUGUAUACCCCCUCGCGGGUUUUUAUAUCUGAGCCAUCUCGGCGCCUCUCGUAGGCGUUUCGAAAAUGAAUCAAAACUUUCAACAACGGAUCUCUUGGUUCUGGCAUCGAUGAAGAACGCAGCGAAAUGCGAUAAGUAAUGUGAAUUGCAGAAUUCAGUGAAUCAUCGAAUCUUUGAACGCACAUUGCGCCCGCCAGUAUUCUGGCGGGCAUGCCUGUCCGAGCGUCAUUUCAACCCUCGAACCCCUCCGGGGGGUCGGCGUUGGGGAUCGGCCCUUUACGGGGCCGGCCCCGAAAUACAGUGGCGGUCUCGCCGCAGCCUCUCCUGCGCAGUAGUUUGCACACUCGCAUCGGGAGCGCGGCGCGUCCAUUGCCGUAAAACACCCAACUUUCUGAAAUGUUGACCUCGGAUCAGGUAGGAAUACCCGCUGAACUUAAGCAUAUCAAU
rnacentral:rRNA from 1 species